rnacentral:rRNA from 1 species
GAUGAACGCUGGCGGCGUGCUUAACACAUGCAAGUCGAACGGAAAGGCCAGUGCUUGCACUGGUACUCGAGUGGCGAACGGGUGAGUAACACGUGGGUGAUCUGCCCUGCACUUCGGGAUAAGCCUGGGAAACUGGGUCUAAUACCGGAUAGGACAAUGGUUUGGAUGCCGUUGUGGAAAGUUUUUUCGGUGUGGGAUGAGCUCGCGGCCUAUCAGCUUGUUGGUGGGGUAAUGGCCUACCAAGGCGUCGACGGGUAGCCGGCCUGAGAGGGUGUACGGCCACAUUGGGACUGAGAUACGGCCCAGACUCCUCAGGGAGGCAGCAGUGGGGAAUAUUGCACAAUGGGCGCAAGCCUGAUGCAGCGACGCCGCGUGGGGGAUGACGGCCUUCGGGUUGUAAACUCCUUUCGCUAGGGACGAAGCGUAUUUGUGACGGUACCUGGAGAAGAAGCACCGGCUAACUACGUG